rnacentral:lncRNA from 1 species
CAUGGAAUUUUACAUUUUAUUUUUGGACCUAAAAACCCGAAUUUCUCAUCAUUUAUUUGAUGGAAGAAAAAUAUUUUGGUGGUCGACAACUGCAGGCGCAACAUCUCUCUUGAGUGCAGGUCUUAUAACAACGGCCGGAAUGACAAGGUAUCCUUUCACAAUCUCCAUCACUUGAACACGAACGACAUGUAUUCGCAUUGGCAAAACCUGCAAUAUUUGAUCACCCUUAAUAAACAUUCUUACUUUCAGGUAUAUGAAUGGACUUCCAAUUGUAAGGAAUCAAACCUUUAAUAUUUACAAUACAUGAGGAUUCAAUGAAGCUAUAUAAUAUUGGAUCGGCGCCUCAUUCGUGCUUAUAUACUUGUAUGCAUAAUAUUUUAUUUCAAGUUAAGAGAAAAAAAUAAUUUAUUCUUAAUAAUCGUAAAAGAUAUAGACAAACCAAAAAAGAGAUUGUUAAGAGGGUGAAGGAGAAAUACCGGAUCCAGAAGCUAUCAGAAAUAAAACUAGCAAGCAAGGAAAUAACAAAGAAGGCUUAACCAUUGUAUGCCUCUAUUUAUUUUCUUCUAUUUGUCUGUCUGAUAAAAGGCUUUGUGGGUUUUGGG